CAGCAGCCGCGGGAAUACGUAGGUGGCAAGCGUUGUCCGGAAUUAUUGGGCGUAAAGCGCGCGCAGGUGGUUUAAUAAGUCUGAUGUGAAAGCCCACGGCUCAACCGUGGAGGGUCAUUGGAAACUGUUAAACUUGAGUGCAGGAGAGAAAAGUGGAAUUCCUAGUGUAGCGGUGAAAUGCGUAGAGAUUAGGAGGAACACCAGUGGCGAAGGCGGCUUUUUGGCCUGUAACUGACACUGAGGCGCGAAAGCGUGGGGAGCAAACAGGAUUAGAUACCCGUGUAGUCCCUGUCUCUUAUAU
rnacentral:rRNA from 1 species